rnacentral:rRNA from 1 species
UACGGAGGGGACUAGCGUUGUUCGGAAUUACUGGGCGUAAAGCGCACGUAGGCGGAUUUGUAAGUCAGGGGUGAAAUCCCGGGGCUCAACCCCGGAACUGCCUUUAAAACUGUUGGUCUGGAGGUCGAGAGAGGUGAGUGGAAUUCCGAGUGUAGAGGUGAAAUUCGUAGAUAUUCGGAGGGACACCAGUGGCGAAGGCGGCUCACUGGCUCGAUACUGACGCUGAGGUGCGAAAGCGUGGGGAGCAAACAGG